rnacentral:rRNA from 1 species
GAUGAACGCUGGCGGCGUGCCUAAUACAUGCAAGUCGAGCGAACGGAUAAGGAGCUUGCUCCUUUGAAGUUAGCGGCGGACGGGUGAGUAACACGUGGGUAACCUACCUAUAAGACUGGAAUAACUUCGGGAAACCGGAGCUAAUGCCGGAUAACAUAUAGAACCGCAUGGUUCUAUAGUGAAAGAUGGUUUUGCUAUCACUGAUAUAUGGACCCGCGCCGUAUUAGCUAGUUGGUAAGGUAAUGGCUUACCAAGGCGACGAUACGUAGCCGACCUGAGAGGGUGAUCGGCCACACUGGAACUGAGACACGGUCCAGACUCCUACGGGAGGCAGCAGUAGGGAAUCUUCCGCAAUGGGCGAAAGCCUGGCGGAGCAACGCCGCGUGAGUGAUGAAGGUUUUCGGAUCGUAAAACUCUGUUAUUAGGGAAGAACAAAUGCGUAAGUAACUGUGCGCAUCUUGACGGUACCUAAUCAGAAAGCCACGGCUAACUACGUGCCAGCCGCCGCCGUAA